UUAUCAACUCUUCAUUUCUUUCUGUGUCUCUUUUUCCAUUUCCUUUCCAUAGAUCUCAUCUCUUUAAUCAAGUUUUCUGAUGAUUCCACUCCAUUAAUCCAUCUUCUGGCUCAUUGUUGUAAUUUUCUUCACCAAGUCUUCUCUCACUGCCCUUCACUUGUGCUUGCCGAAAAAUGAAGUCUCUUAUCUUUAAACAAGAUAUGUGAAUCUUCUUGUUUCAAAUCAAAGCGUGGCUUUUUAUGGUACUUGUCUUUCAUGAUUUCAUUAUCCGAAAUCCAAAUGGAGUUUCUCUUUCUCAAAUCAAAGCUAGGUGUGGACGGGAAUGGAUAUAUACAGUGAAACCGGAGUUCAUCAAGCACCAACCUCCUUGAUAAUACAGGUGUAACAUACCAUGUGGAGUCACUAGCAAGGGCUACCCCAACCAUCUACACACUGCAUACCAAACUGAAUAACAGAAGUCAAAACAUUCCAAAAUAAUGGACUUUUGAUUUUUUUUGGGGGGUGCUCCGAGAACAGUUAACACGACGUGGCAUUGACAUCCCCAAUAACCCUCCUCCAAAAUAGUUUAAGCCAAGUAGGGAGUGUUUUUAAGGAGAUGAUCCGUUUUCUAUGGUUCGUUAUGUUACCAGGCUGUGGUCAUAGCAAUUGGUUUUGGUAAGCAAGUUGUCUGUAAAAUAGCAGUAGAUAUGCCUGUAUGCACUCUAACAUGACAUGAGGAGAUAAUUAUGAUCUACUGAGGUUAUUAUAUGAAAAGCCUUAUACAGAGGGAUAUACUAAUGCAGGUAACUUGGAAUGCUCUAUGUGGAUAUCUCUUAAUUCUAGGAUCAAAAUGUAUAAUUAUCAAAAGUAGGUCUGUGUAUAAGUAAAAAUAUAGCUACUAUUUUGGCUAGAUUGAAAGGUGGUUGUUUUUCUUUUAAGGAGAUUAAAAGGUGGUUGUAAAAUCAAAUAUAGUGGUAGGGACUACUUCUCAAACUCAGUUCUAGAUAAAAAGUAGUCAUUAAGCAUGUCAACUUUUGGAAAGUUUUUCUGGUAAGUAGCAGUUUCCAUUACCAUAACUUAGUUCCCUUCCACAGAAUUUGAAAAUUGUAUUAGAGAAGCCUUAACCUCUAGCAAUUUAAUUUUUGUCUUUAAUAGCUAGUAUAGCUAUAACUUGUAUUUACUUGAGUCUAUCUGUGUUGGAAUAUAUUUUAAUUAAAUGUCAUAACCAUUAUCAUAGUCAUGACUUCAUUAAGUAGAAUUUGUUGGUUUGCCUUCAUCCUUAGGUUUAAGAGAAAUGUUGUUAGCACACUUUCUAACGUAUUCUCAUUUAUAUGAGAGCCCCAAUAAAUAUACGGCGAUGCUAUAUAUAGCGAACCAAUCACGAAUCAAAUGCAGCCGUUGGAUUAUCCUCCAUUUGACUAAAUACAUGGCUUAGUGAAAGCAAAUAGGACCCACUUCAUAUGCAUACUAAUUGUCGUGAUAAUUUCGCGAGCCGGUAUGUCGCGAUAUAUAUCAUUAUCCCUAAAUAUAUAUAGUAUAUGAUUUAAUAGGAUUCAUGUGAAAAGAGCGUGUUAGAGAAUAUAUUGUGGGGAUUGGCUAUCCCUCAAGGCUUAACUUGAUGAAGGCACGUUACAUUCAUUACCCGUGAUGUAAGUAUUGCUUACUCAUGAGCUAAAGUAUACAUACCCAAAAAGAAAGGGAUUAUAUUCAAUGAACUAGCCACUCCCAAAAAGAAAGUUAUUAUCUUACAACUUUUAAUCAUAAUAUAAUAUAUAUUUCUAUAACACUCUCUUAUAGCUUAUGAGCUAGACAAGAUCGUGCGACUAUUGUCUUGUUUCGAAAUUUAGUUUAGCAAAGAGAAAUUGGAUAUAGCAAAGGGUUUAUCUCAUUACUACAUAGCUGACUAUGAUGUUUUACAUUUGAGGGAAGCAUUCAUCCCAGAAGAUUCAAAUAUUAGGUAAAGCUUACGAAUGGGUUUUAUAUAACAAAACUUGAGCAAUUCUUCCCAUUGGAAAGUUAGUGCGGUGGAUUGUGAUCAUUUGCUUGAAUGUAUUUAUAUAUUAUAUACACUUCUGUAGUUUCUCAGAAGAGUAAAAUUAUCAGCCUUUACAGAUUCCUAUUUUCUUCAACAUAAUAUUAGGAAUGAACAGCAUUGUCACUACCACUAUAUUGAUAUGAUGUUAUUUGUAAUUUUCUAGGGUUCAAAAUAAUAGAAAAGUAUUAAAGUGAUUUAGGAUCUAUGAAUUCCAUAUGAUUGUUACAAAUUAGUUACAAUAUGUCAAUAUCAUAGAGGAAAAGAUUACUUUUCUCUAUCCAUUGCCUUAGAAACGGAGAGUAUUCUUUGGCGCCCUUCAUUACUCAAGGGAGGUAGAAACUGAUUUCUAUCCUUGGUUUCCCAUUUCUGAAUCCUUCUGUGCUUAUGAUGGUUAGAUAAAGUAGCUAACGAUGCCGUUAGCCCGUUACAUCAAGAAAAGGAUUUGCUUCCCAUUUAAAAUGGAUAAAUAGGAUUUGUUUCACAUUUAAUAAGAAAAAUAAGAUUAAAAAUAUAUUCAAAACUGUAGCCAAAAAAUUGUGUUGCUAGCGUUACUAGUAAAUGUAAUGCAAAUUGAUAGGAUUUUAUUAUACAUUUCAUAUUAGAAUAUUACAAAUUUAAUUAUGUCUUUUUAUUAUGGGAUUAGAUCAUUUAACUAUUCAUAAAUCAUAAUCUUAUUCUUAAUUGGAUUUUGAUUUCUUACCAAAUUUUGCAUUGGUAAUUUUUUAAUAUUAAGCUUGAUCUGGAACACUUGUAUUAGUAUUUUGUUGUGGCUCAUUUAACUAUUUUACUAGCCAUAUUAUCAGGCUAAGAGGUAUUAAUCCUCAAACUGCGAUACACCUAUGUGCAGUACAUCAUCACAUAAGGAAACGACUCAUCUGUCUGAAAUUCAUGAUAGAAAAGAUAGGAAGUUUUGAGCACUAACACAUAAAACGUGAACACUGACAAAGUAACAUAAGAUCUAUGAUCUACUGAUGUUAUUAUAUGAAAUGCAGUACUACAGGCUAUAUAUAUGCAGGUCACAAGGAAUGCUAUACGUGGAGAUAUCUUAUUCCAGGAUCCAAAUGUAUUAUUAUAAAAAAUUCGGCCGGUAUAUAACCAGGAAUUUAACCACAAUUUGGCUAGAUUCAAAGUGGUUGAUAUAAAUCAUACAUAAUGGUACGGACUACUUCUCAAGCUUUGUUGCUAGAGGAACAAGCAUGUCAACUUAGCUCUGGUUUGCAUUAUCAGACAUAUGUACGUGAUGCCAAGUGAUUGCGAAAACGGGAGCACAGAAGAUGCACAUUUACAUGCUUCUAUUCUAUUUCAUCAGUGUGACUUUGGGAAUGGAUCCUUUUCAAUGUUCCAAAGUAUGGGUUGCACUAGCACAACAAACAAAUAUGUCAUAAUAGUACAUCUAUCAUGUUUGGUGACUAACAAGAUUUCCAAAGUGAUGUAAAGAAUGAACUUGUGGUUCGCAGAAGACAAUUUGUUGAUGAAAAUGCACAAGUUGGUGUAGUGGUGCAUAGUGGGUAGCAUACAUAGUUUAGACAACAGACUGGCAGGACAGCAACAGAUAUGAAUGUUUUUUUGUGAAAAUGUAUUCAUUGGAUCCUUUUGUUCUUAGUUAGUUAAUAAUUCAUUAUAACAUGCAUAAUAGUUUGUUGUGUUGGCUUAUGUCAUCCAUCCAAUUGAUUUGAGGACUCUGGUUAAUAAACUAAAAGGUAGAUAAUGUUAAUUGUUAUCAUCUCUAUUUGCCGUCUUCAAUCCUUGGUUGGUGUAGUUAAGCAUGAAGCUGUAAAUUUAGUCAGAUCUAACUUCCAGCAGUCAAAACUGAAGUUUGGCAUACUUACACAGUUAGUGGAUCGCGAUUGGAUGGCUAGAUUCAAUGCCGAUUUUGAUUUUUUGAAAUAAAAAAUAUUGAUUUUGAAUCUUAACAUUUCGAUCUCAAUCUAAUC
rnacentral:lncRNA from 1 species